GCUGCAAUAGCUCAGUGGUAGAGCCCAGCUUCGCAUGCGGGGAGACCUGGGUUUGAUUCCCGGCUGCUUCC
rnacentral:tRNA from 1 species